AGGAUCUUAGUGCUGAAAAGGACCCUGGGCAACAUCUAGUCCUACAGAGUUCACACCACUUUAACACAGCACCCUUCACUCAAAUGGCAUCUUAUAUGGAAAUCAUCACUGAAAGUAGGUCAAAACACAACUGCUUUGGUGAAAUUGAGAGUGAGGAAUCUGAGCCUUCCUCCAAACCCCCUCGUUCUUAGGGGCUGCCUCUAGAAGAAGAAAGGUGUGCAAAGAAAGAGCACUAAUGAAGAAAGUGACCUCCCCAAACCACUGGAGUCAAAGAAGUCUUCUGUGAGGAAGAGAUCCAAGAAGUUCAGUGUACCUCAAGCAAGAGGAAUAUAAAGAAAAACAUACCUAAUCACUUCAAAAUCAAAGAGCACUGGAUUCUGCAGCUCAGAAUAAAAAUGACGGCUAAGGAGGGAGCUGUGCAAGAAACAAGAUGUUCACGGUGAUGCCUAUGAACAUAAAACUCAGAAAAGUUACAAAGUCAGAAUUUGGGGGAAUUCCUCCAAUUAGCUGGAGUGGAAGAAGAGAAGCAAACAAAGAAGAUGGAAGGGAAUUGGGAAGAAAUCAAAACAGUGCUGUGUUAGGACAAGAGGUAAAGUUUGAAGAGAAGUGGUCAAGUCUGUGAAACACUGUAGAGAAGCUGGGAAAGCUGAGGUGUGACAACACGUCAUUGACCAUGAAGAGACAGCUGAUGGCUCUGAAUGGACAGUUCAUGCAGUGUGGUCAGGACACAAGACAAAUAACAAGUUUGCAAAGGAGUUGAGAAAAUGGUACGGCUUGCCAUGGUGGAAUAUUAAGUUAACUUUGCAAUGCACAGAUUCUUGACCUUUGUUUUUGCAGUAGCUACCCUGGUGCAUUGGCAUAGCAACUUCUGUAUGUGACUCAUAAUCAAAGGUAAUUCACUAGAGAAAAUAGACUAAAGAAUCAAUACCUAAAUUAUAAACAGGUUACCUUCCAAUU